GACGAACGCUGGCGGCGUGCUUAACACAUGCAAGUCGAACGAAGUGGCGAACGGGUGAGUAACGCGUAAUCAACCUGCCCUUCAGAGGGGGACAACAGUUGGAAACGACUGCUAAUAUCGCAUACCGUAGGAGGGGAUUGCGUCUGCUUAGCUAGGUGGAGGGGUAACGGCCCACCAAGGCGCUGAGCAGUAGCCGGUAUGAGAGGAUGAACAGCCAAAUGGGCACGGAGACACGGCCCAGACGCCUACGGGAGGCAGAAGUGGGGAAUCUUACGCAAUAGACGAAAGUCUGACGGAGCAACGCCGCGUGAGUGAUGACGGCCUUCGGGUUGUAAAGCUCUGUUAAUCGGGACGCGGUACCGGAAUAGAAAGCCACGGCUAACUACGUGCCAGCAGCCGCGGUAAUAC
rnacentral:rRNA from 1 species